rnacentral:rRNA from 1 species
UACGUAGGGCGCAAGCGUUAUCCGGAAUUAUUGGGCGUAAAGAGCUCGUAGGCGGUUUGUCGCGUCUGCCGUGAAAGUCCGGGGGCUCAACUCCGGAUCUGCGGUGGGUACGGGCAGACUAGAGUGAUGUAGGGGAGACUGGAAUUCCUGGUGUAGCGGUGAAAUGCGCAGAUAUCAGGAGGAACACCGAUGGCGAAGGCGGGACUCGUGGGC